rnacentral:rRNA from 1 species
GCCUAGCCCUAAAUCUUGAUACUUCCACCACUAAAGUAUCCGCCUGAGAACUACKAGCACAAACGCUUAAAACUCUAAGGACUUGGCGGUGCUCCAAACCCACCUAGAGGAGCCUGUCCUGUAAUCGAUAACCCACGAUAUACCUGACCACUUCUUGCCAACGCAGCCUACAUACCGCCGUCGCCAGCUCACCUCCCCUGAGAGAGCCACAGUGAGCAUAAUAGCCCACCACGCUAACAAGACAGGUCAAGGUAUAGCUUAUGAAGUGGAAGAGAUGGGCUACAUUUUCUAAAGUAGAAAACCCUACGAAAGAGGGCAUGAAACUGCCCCCGGAAGGCGGAUUUAGCAGUAAAGGAGGAUAAUAAAGCCCCCUUUAAGCUGGCUCUGGAGCACGU